UGGCUCAAUAAUCAAACCUGUUCCCCCUCCUUCAAGACGUUUGGAUCAUGCACUUUCAACUCGUCGUUUGAUUUUGUUCAUCGGGAUGGGAAGGGUUAAGCUAAAGAUAAAGAAGUUAGAGAACACAAAUGGCCGUCAGGUGACCUAUGCCAAAAGGAAACAUGGCAUCAUGAAGAAGGCAAAUGAGCUAUCUAUCCUAUGUGAUAUAGAGAUUAUCCUCCUUAUGUUCUCCCCGACUGGCAAGCCCUCUUUAUGCAGUGGGAAGCGCAGUAGCAUUGAGGAAAUCAUUGCAAAGUUUGCUCAACUCACUCCACAGGAACGGGCAAAAAGGAAGUUGGAAAGCCUUGAAGCACUGAAAAAAACAUUCAAGAAGUUGGACCAUGAUGUAAAUGUUCAUGAAUUUCUGGGUACAAGUACACAAACAAUAGAGGACCUGACUAACCAAGCAAGGUUAUUGCAGACUCAGCUUUCUGAAAUACACAGGAGACUGAGCUGUUGGACUAACCUAGACAAGAUCAACAAUGUAGAACAUUUGGGGCAAGUGGAAGAUACACUCAAGGAAUAUCUAAAUCAAAUUCAAGCCCAUAAGGAAACUUUAGGAAAGCAACAGCUUCUAUCAUUAGAAUGCACAAGUCAGUUCCAAAAUGAAAUGCAUGUACCCUUUAGAAUGGGCGCUGAGCAACAGCUGCAACCUCUCGCAUGGAUACCUAAUAAUGACAGUAGACACAUGGCCUUACCCGAGGACCCAAAUUUGAUUACCCACAGGGAUGUGGAGUGCUCUGCAAGUUCUUCUUUUGGAAGUUAUUCCGGUUACUUUGGCACUGCUAAAAGUUCUGAACUGUCUAGUUCUGGACAAGAAAAUGGCAUACUCAACGAUUUGAGUGGUAAUCCAUCAUUACAGCUGCAACUGGGUGGACAAUACCCCUACUUGUCAUAUAAUCUCAAUAUACUUAAUGAUGCCAAAUUCCCACCGGUGGCAGAGAUGAACUUUCAGGAAACUCCUGCAGAUUAUAAUGUUAAUGGAGUCCUAGAAGGUCCUAGAGCUGGAUAUGACACAACCCAAGGUAGUUGGGCUUCCACCUCUGGGCCAUGUGCUGUUACUAUGUUUGAUGAGCCUUUGUAUUCGCGAGUAAGUAUUUCCCCAUUACUCCCACUAUGCUUUUGAUUUCUAUAGCAGCGUUUCAUGUUUCACCGACUGUUUUUCUGUAACUUCAAAAUGAUUGAGCAAUCUAUUGGUAAAUAUGUGACUCUGUGUGCAUGCAAAUAUAUGUGAACAAUAUUGGAAUUAUCACAAUAUUGCUCUAGAAUAAUAUAUAGGCUGUAAGCUUGUAUUAAUUUUCUUCAUUCAAAGAAAAUUUAUGGAAAAAAGAAGGAUUGUAUCCAAGUAUGCUUUUGCUUACUGUAAAUCUAUCUUCUAUGUCAACGUUUAUUCUCCUAGGAUGACAAGAAGAGUACAUGGGAUUUUUGCUAGAUGGCAAGCAACUAAACUGAGAUUCAGGAAGAGUGAUGCUACCAUUCCAUCCCAUCCAACUGAGCAGGCUAUGGAGAACCUGGUAAUGUGCAUGUGAAAAAAUUUACCCAAUCCACGGAAAUUUGUCUACUUGUCUCAAAAACGGUUUUCACUGCCAUGCAAAAACUUGGAAUCAGCCAAUGAGAUGUAUAGCACGACUACAACAACAUAGGAAUUUGCCUUUUAAUAGUGAUGAACCUCAGAAUUGAGUGGUGCUGAUUCCCUAUCAAAUGAGGCACCACAUGACCUGUUAUAAUUUCUGUAUACAACAAAUCAUAUUUUAGUACUAGGUUUUCCUGACCUAUUUUUGCCUUCACCUUUUGAUUUACAGACAGGCUACUUACUGCCUUCCCCUCCUCCCUGUCAAUUUUUUAGCUGUAAAUAAAACACAUGUAGCAGAAGACAUUGAUUGUAAAUCAAAACAAACAAACAAAAAAAAAAAUACUAUUAUUUUGGUUU